AUUGAACGCUGGCGGCAGGCCUAACACAUGCAAGUCGAGCGGAGCGGCGGACGGGUGAGUAAUGCCUAGGAAUCUGCCUGGUAGUGGGGGAUAACGUCCGGAAACGGGCGCUAAUACCGCAUACUAUCAGAUGAGCCUAGGUCGGAUUAGCUGGUUGGUGGGGUAAAGGCCUACCAAGGCGACGAUCCGUAACUUGUCUGAGAGGAUGAUCAGGCACACUGGAAUGUAGAAACGGUCCCGACUCCUACGGGAGGCUGCAGUGGGGAAUAUUGGACAAUGGGCGAAAGCCUGGUCCAGCCAUGCGUCGGGUGUGAAGAAGGUCUUCGGAAUGUAAAGCACUUUAAGUUGGGAGGCGUUACCAACAGAAUAAGCACCGGCUAACUUCGUGCCAGCCGCCGCGGUAAUAC
rnacentral:rRNA from 1 species